rnacentral:tRNA from 1 species
GGGGCUAUAGCUCAGCUGGGAGAGCGCCUCGUUCGCAACGAGGAGGUCAACGGUUCGAUCCCGUUUAGCUCCA